GAUGAAGAACGUAGCGAAAUGCGAUACUUGGUGUGAAUUGCAGAAUCCCGUGAACCAUCGAGGCUUUGAACGCAAGUUGCGCCUCAAGCCAUUAGGUUGAGGGCACGUCUGCCUGGGCGUCACAUAUCGUUGCCUGAUGCCAGUUUCCUCGUGAUGGGUGACUGUGCAGGGCGAAUGAUGGCUUCCCGUGAGCAUUGUUGCCUCAUGGUUGGUUGAAAAUUGAGUCCUUGGUAGGGAGCGCCGUGAUAGAUGGUGGUUGAGUGACGAACGAGACCCAAUCAUGUGAGACCCCUACCGAAUUUGGCCUUCAUGACCCACAUGCGUCUUUGGAACGCUCAUGACGAGACCUCAGGUCAGGCGGGGCUACCCGCUGAGUUUAAGCAUAUCAAUAAGCGGAGGA
rnacentral:misc_RNA from 1 species